rnacentral:rRNA from 1 species
CACGUAGGGCGCAAGCGUUGUCCGGAAUUAUUGGGAGUAAAGAGCUCGUAGGCGGUCUGUUGCGUCCGCUGUGAAAACUCGGGGCUUAACCCCGAGCCUGCAGUGGAUACGGGCAGACUAGAGGUAGGUAGGGGAGAAUGGAAUUCCCGGUGUAGCGGUGAAAUGUGCAGAUAUCGGGAGGAACACCGGUGGCGAAGGCGGUUCUCUGGGCCUUACCUGACGCUGAGGAGCGAAAGCGUGGGGAGCGAACAGG